rnacentral:lncRNA from 10 species
AAAUGGGCUUAAUACAUGCAGAAUGCUCAGAACAGUGUCUGUCAUGUGGUAAAUCCUCAAGGAACAAUGAAUAAGGAUUAAAUUCUGCAUCCUCCCACAUAACUGAGAAAAGCCUGGUAGGAAAUCAGGUUAAUGGAGAGAAAAGACAGAGGGAUGAGAGCAGCUCGAAGGAGAUGAUCAUUUCUGCAGACAUAGAAUCCAAGUUGCCGUGUGAAAUGGUGUGUGGGUGAGCACAUGGAUGGCAUGCUGAUCACAUUUCCAGGCCACCAUGAGGCAGAAGUAGAGCUAAUAGACUGGAUGAAAGAAGAAUGAGCCAGAGCAAUGCCGACAGUCUGCAAAGCCAGGUCAAGUUAGGCAACCUGGAGC